GAUGAACGCUGGCGGCGUGCCUAAUACAUGCAAGUCGAGCGAACAGACGAGGAGCUUGCUCCUCUGACGUUAGCGGCGGACGGGUGAGUAACACGUGGAUAACCUACCUAUAAGACUGGGAUAACUUCGGGAAACCGGAGCUAAUACCGGAUAAUAUAUUGAACCGCAUGGUUCAAUAGUGAAAGACGGUUUUGCUGUCACUUAUAGAUGGAUCCGCGCCGCAUUAGCUAGUUGGUAAGGUAACGGCUUACCAAGGCGACGAUGCGUAGCCGACCUGAGAGUGAUCGGCCACACUGGAACUGAGACACGGUCCAGACUCCUACGGGAGGCAGCAGUAGGGAAUCUUCCGCAAUGGGCGAAAGCCUGACGGAGCAACGCCGCGUGAGUGAUGAAGGUCUUCGGAUCGUAAAACUCUGUUAUUAGGGAAGAACAAAUGUGUAAGUAACUAUGCACGUCUUGACGGUACCUAAUCAGAAAGCCACGGCUAACUACGUG
rnacentral:rRNA from 1 species